UGCUUUACACAUGCAAGUCGAACGGUAGAGGGGGCAACCCCUCGAGAGUGGCGAACGGGUGAGUAAUAUAUCGGAACGUGCCCAGUCGUGGGGGAUAACGUAGCGAAAGUUACGCUAAUACCGCAUACGAUCUGUGGAUGAAAGCGGGGGAUCUUCGGACCUCGCGCUAUUGGGGUGGCCGAUGGCGGAUUAGGUAGUUGGUGGGGUAAAGGCCUACCAAGCCGACGAUCCGUAGCUGGUCUGAGAGGACGACCAGCCACACUGGGACUGAGACACGGCCCAGACUCCUACGGGAGGCAGCAGUGGGGAAUUUUGGACAAUGGGGGCAACCCUGAUCCAGCAAUGCCGCGUGUGUGAAGAAGGCCUUCGGGUUGUAAAGCAC
rnacentral:rRNA from 1 species